UGGAGAGUUUGAUCCUGGCUCAGGACGAACGCUGGCGGCGUGCCUAAUACAUGCAAGUCGAACGCUUUUUCUUUCACCGGAGCUUGCUCCACCGAAAGAAAAAGAGUGGCGAACGGGUGAGUAACACGUGGGUAACCUGCCCAUCAGAAGGGGAUAACACUUGGAAACAGGUGCUAAUACCGUAUAACACUAUUUUCCGCAUGGAAGAAAGUUGAAAGGCGCUUUUGCGUCACUGAUGGAUGGACCCGCGGUGCAUUAGCUAGUUGGUGAGGUAACGGCUCACCAAGGCCACGAUGCAUAGCCGACCUGAGAGGGUGAUCGGCCACACUGGGACUGAGACACGGCCCAGACUCCUACGGGAGGCAGCAGUAGGGAAUCUUCGGCAAUGGACGAAAGUCUGACCGAGCAACGCCGCGUGAGUGAAGAAGGUUUUCGGAUCGUAAAACUCUGUUGUUAGAGAAGAACAAGGAUGAGAGUAGAACGUUCAUCCCUUGACGGUAUCUAACCAGAAAGCCACGGCUAACUACGUGCCAGCAGCCGCGGUA
rnacentral:rRNA from 1 species